GACGGAGGAUGCAAGCGUUAUCCGGAAUGAUUGGGCGUAAAGCGUCCGCAGGUGGCAGUUCAAGUCUGCUGUCAAAGACCGGGGCUUAACUUCGGAAAGGCAGUGGAAACUGAACAGCUAGAGUAUGGUAGGGGCAGAGGGAAUUCCUGGUGUAGCGGUGAAAUGCGUAGAUAUCGGGAGGAACACCAGUGGCGAAGGCGACUACCUGGCCUGUUUCUUGACGCUGAGGCGCGAAAGCUAGGGGAGCAAACGGG
rnacentral:rRNA from 1 species